rnacentral:tRNA from 1 species
GCCUCGGUAGCGCAGUAGGCAGCGCGUCAAUCUCAUAAUCUCGUCACAAGAGCUAUCUGAAGGUCGUGAGUUCGAUCCUCACCCGGGGUA